rnacentral:rRNA from 1 species
UACAGAGGUCUCAAGCGUUGUUCGGAUUCAUUGGGCGUAAAGCGUGCGCAGGCGGUUGGCAAAGUCAGCUGUGAAAGCCCCGGGCUCAACCUGGGAAUUGCGGUUGAAACUAGUCGACUAGAAUCUGGCAGAGGGGGGUGGAAUUCCACGUGUAGCAGUGAAAUGCGUAGAGAUGUGGAGGAACACCGAUGGCGAAGGCAGCCCCCUGGGCUGAGAUUGACGCUCAGGCACGAAAGCGUGGGGAGCAAACAGG